rnacentral:lncRNA from 1 species
AAAUAAAUGAACUUUAAUAGGUACUUCUUUUUAAUUUGAUACACAUAUGUGCGCGCCAUUUUGUUUUUAAAUUUCCUCGAUGAGGUGGAAUGAAAAGUUACGUGUUGCACUCGAGUGCAAAGAUUUUUCACCUUGUGCUCUUUUGAUUCCCUCGCUAUCGCUCAGGAUUCUAAUUAUUGAAACACUCGCUACGCUCGUGUUUCAAUUUUAGAAUCCUUCGCUUGCUCGGUCAUCAAAAUUGAGCCCGCGGUUAAAAAGCAACUUUGCACUCUUGUAUAACAAAUAACUAUUAAUAAUCUAUGUAC